ACGUCUACGAGUUUGAUCAUGGCUCAGGAUGAACGCUAGCGGCAGGCUUAACACAUGCAAGUCGAGGGGCAGCGCGAUGUAGCAAUACAUUGGCGGCGACCGGCGCACGGGUGCGUAACACGUAUGGAACUUACCCUUUACUGGGAGAUAGCCCGGAGAAAUCCGGAUUAAUAUCCCAUAAUAAACGAAGUGGCAUCACUUUGUUUUGAAAGCUCCGGCGGUAAAGAAUGGCCAUGCGCACGAUUAGCUAGUAGGUGAGGUAACGGCUCACCUAGGCUACGAUCGUUAGGGGGCCUGAGAGGGUUAUCCCCCACACUGGUACUGAGACACGGACCAGACUCCUACGGGAGGCAGCAGUGAGGAAUAUUGCGCAAUGGAGGCAACUCUGACGCAGCCAUGCCGCGUACAGGAAGAAGGCGCUACGCGUUGUAAACUGCUUUUAACCGGGAAGAAACCCUCCGACGUGUCGGAGGUUGACGGUACCGGAGGAAUAAGCACCGGCUAACUUCGUG
rnacentral:rRNA from 1 species